UACGUAGGGUGCAAGCGUUGUCCGGAAUUAUUGGGCGUAAAGAGCUCGUAGGCGGUCUGUCGCGUCGGCUGUGAAAACCCGGGGCUCAACCCCGGGCCUGCAGUCGAUACGGGCAGACUAGAGUGCGGUAGGGGAGACUGGAAUUCCUGGUGUAGCGGUGAAAUGCGCAGAUAUCAGGAGGAACACCGGUGGCGAAGGCAGCACUCUGGGACGGUACUGACGCUGAGACGCGAAAGCGUGGGGAGCAAACAGG
rnacentral:rRNA from 1 species